rnacentral:rRNA from 1 species
UGAUUCAGCGGCGGACGGGUGAGUAAUGCCUAGGAAUCUGCCUGGUAGUGGGGGACAACGUUUCGAAAGGAACGCUAAUACCGCAUACGUCCUACGGGAGAAAGUGGGGGAUCUUCGGGCCUUGCGCUAUCAGAUGAGCCUAGGUCGGAUUAGCUAGUUGGUGAGGUAAAGGCUCACCAAGGCGACGAUCCGUAACUGGUCUGAGAGGAUGAUCAGUCACACUGGAACUGAGACACGGUCCAGACUCCUACGGGAGGCAGCAGUGGGGAAUAUUGGACAAUGGGCGAAAGCCUGAUCCAGCCAUGCCGCGUGUGUGAAGAAGGUCUUCGGAUUGUAAAGCACUUUAAGUUGGGAGGAAGGGCAGUAAGUUAAUACCUUGCUGUUUUGACGUUACCGACAGAAUAAGCACCGGCUAACUUCGUGCCAGCAGCCGCGGUAAUACGAAGGGUGCAAGCGUUAAUCGGAAUUACUGGGCGUAAAGCGCGCGUAGGUGGUUCGUUAAGUUGGAUGUGAAAGCCCCGGGCUCAACCUGGGAACUGCAUCCAAAACUGGCGAGCUAGAGUAUGGCAGAGGGUGGUGGAAUUUCCUGUGUAGCGGUG